UACGUAGGGUGCGAGCGUUGUCCGGAAUUAUUGGGCGUAAAGAGCUCGUAGGCGGUCUGUCGCGUCGAAUGUGAAAACCCGGGGCUCAACUCCGGGCUUGCAUUCGAUACGGGCAGGCUAGAGUUCGGUAGGGGAGUCUGGAAUUCCUGGUGUAGCGGUGAAAUGCGCAGAUAUCAGGAGGAACACCGGUGGCGAAGGCGGCUUCUUGGGCCGUUUCUGACGCUGAGGCGCGAAAGCCAGGGGAGCGAACAGG
rnacentral:rRNA from 1 species